UUCAAGAAGUUAGUGGAGAAAUUGAAGAGAACUCCAGGGAUUUUAAAGAAAUUGGAAAACUGUUGAUAGUCCUUCCUGCUGUGUCAUUCCUGAGAUUCCUGCAGGAAAGGUCUCUCAGGUCAGCUAACAGAUGGGACCUAUCAGGAAACUUAUGGUCUAAUCAUCAGUGGGUCAAAUGGGCAGCUGAAACUCUGGGCCUCAUACGGACACUGUAGGCCUUCUACAGAAGCACGGACCAGGUAAAGGUGUUCUGCAUUUCCCAACUUUCCUUGAAUUUGAUACGGAUAUAUGACAGAGUUCUAGCCAACUAAGUAGGAGUGUGGAGCUAUUUCCAGGGCUGGCUCACUAAAACUUCCAUAAACAAUCUUCCAUAUUCUUUUCACAUCUGCAUCCUUUAGCCAGAUAAGCCCAAAGAUCUCGGAAGGCACCUUUGAAAAUGAUGGAACCAUAAGA